UACGUAGGUGGCAAGCGUUGUCCGGAAUUACUGGGUGUAAAGGGAGCGCAGGCGGGAAGGCAAGUUAGAUGUGAAAUACCACAGCUCAACUGUGGAACUGCAUUUAAAACUGCUUUUCUUGAGUGAAGUAGAGGUAGGCGGAAUUCCUAGUGUAGCGGUGAAAUGCGUAGAUAUUAGGAGGAACACCAGUGGCGAAGGCGGCCUACUGGGCUUUUACUGACGCUGAGGCUCGAAAGCGUGGGGAGCAAACAGGAUUAGAUACCCUGGUAGUCCACGCUGUAAACGAUGAUUACUAGGUGUGGGGCGGUCUGACCCGUUCCGUGCCGGAGUUAACACAAUAAGUAAUCCACCUGGGGAGUACGACCGCAAGGUUGAA
rnacentral:rRNA from 1 species